GCCCGACUCUGGCGGCCCUGGGUUUGAGUGAUCGGUUUGAACAGGAGGGGUUACACUGGUGCUGUGACUCGCAGAUCUCUGUGUGGUUGCAUGAAAGUCUUAAUGAAAGCCAUAGCUGCUGAACAACAGAAGACAGACGAACCACAGUGAGGGGAAGAUGCUAAGUCCCUUCGUAUAUAAAGUCUUUGGAAGAUGUGGGUGUCUCUGUCAGAUUGCUGCUGAGUUUACUAGAAACUGAUUCAGACCAAAAAUGGAUGAAGCAAACGGGCCAGCAUCUACUAAAAAAAAAGGGAGUUGCAGAACGAAACAUUUAUAAACAUUGACAAGGUUUUGAUUUGUGUUUAUGAUAUGAUGCUUGUGAAUAAUUUCCUCUAUAGCAUGGUGAUUUGCAAUUCUGUCUCUUCUUAAUUUCUUCUACAGAACAAUACCAUCUCAACUUGGAGAACUUGCAUUCUCAGAUCACUAUGAAAACCUCAUGAAGGAGUAUACAGGAAGUGUUCAGGCAUUCUUUUGAACGGUUACAAUAAAUAAUACCCCCAAUAAACUACACAAUACAGCUGUAAUCACAUACGGACUACAUUCACAUAAUAUAGUCAAUAUGCACAUACACACAGUAUACUUGACUCUUGUAGUGUAAGAACAAAAACAUUAAUAAUAAUAUACAGUAGUCUUUUAAUGAAGCACUUAAACCUGAGUAGCUAACUCUGUACCUAGUAAUCCAGUGUCAGAUUUUUCCUGGAUAACUCAUAGAUGUAAAACAAAGGUUAGUUCACCCAAAAAUGUCAUUAAUUACUCACCCUCAUGUCGUUUCAUACCCAUAAGUAAACAAUGAGGUUCAUUCUCAUGUUACGCAGCACGUUUGAGCUUCAGCAGUAUCUACAUUUUGGGGGGUCAAAGGUCACAUCAGUGGUCAUGGUUUUUAUCUAUAACAAUUUCUUCCUGAGAAGGCAUUACAUAAAUGCAUUACCACUAAUCUAUGACUGGCUGUUAUAAAAACUUUAAAGGCGUCUUACUGCAUUUUGCCUUUUGUAGGGCAGAAUAGUGGAGGAGAAAACCUGCAGUUUUAAAAAUGCUACUGUUAUUGUGUCAUGAACUGUAGUUUUAAGCAUUUUUCAGGCAGGAGUGCAAUUGUUUAAAGCUCAAAUCUGAAGUUUAUUUAUAAAGAUAGAGCCUAUUUGAAAAUGUGUUCUGAUGUUUUCGGAGAUGUGAGAUCCAGGCGAUCUCCUUUGGUCUCAUUGAUCUGUAAUUUGCUCCUGGGCAUAUAGUUUUAGCUGAGGGCAAAGUGAAGUUUCACAACUUUAUGUAUUUAUAUAUAUACGAUUGUAAGGUGCUGACUUUGUGCAUUUGAUUGAAAAGUAUUAUAAAGUCUAAAAAGCUUUUCAAAUAGCUUCUAUUGUUCAUUAAAACUGACAUUUAACAAAAUGAGACAUUAGAUAAUUUUAUUUCAUGUUUAUGAUAGAAACAUACAUACAGCUAAGAUAAUCAGAGUAUAUGCACAUAGUGCCUGACCCACAUGUUAAUAUGGUUCAUGUGGUUACAUGAACUGAUUAACUAACAGGCCUUUCACUUUCACUUUCCUGUUCCAGUAAAUGGGAGGCUUUUUAUGAAAGGGCUUAACAACCAAACAACUAUAAGAUCCUGGCUCUAAUACUGGACUUCCUCCAACAGCACACAUAUUAUAUGUCUCCUUUAUCUGACACAAUAUCAGCAGAGGAUGAUUAAUCAACUUAAGCUCAUUAUUGUGUUUAUUUAGUAUUCUUGGACUCUCAGAUGCAGCUCUAUGUAGAUGAGCAUAAAUCUGCAAAUUUCACUGGGACAUUAUACCAGAGACAGGGUGACAACAGAUAUUUCAUGGAUGAGAAGACGCUCUGCAUGCCAUUAUUUAUCCAGCUAAGGAAAAAGAGGCUGGACAUGGAGAGAGAGCAGUUAAAACCAACUACAAGUGGACAGACCUCAAUACCCACCAAAUGUGGCUUCACCAGGCAGAAACAGUGUACUUCAUUGAUUUAAUGCGGCAGCACCUGGAGGAAGAGGGUGAACUUCC